rnacentral:lncRNA from 1 species
CUUCUUUCAUGAAAGUGAUGCCAAGGUGGUGGGAAAAUCCAUUCGGGAUCGUGUUAAUCAGAUCAAGAAGUCACGGGAGCGCAGACAGCAGCAGCUUCUUCAACAGCAGCAAGGAUUUGAAGAACGGAGAGACCCCUCUCUCAUCUCCUACACUUUCUCUCACCCUUCGGGCUACUCCUCUCUAGGGCCAGGUGGACAGUCUGAGGACAGUCAUGAUUUGGACCAAUAUGUCAGACAACACUGUAUUAUGAGUGGGACAACCCUCAGUCUGACAGGGGAGAGUCUUGGUUCAGCCAGUUGUGAGUCUUAUGCCAGUGGACUGAGCCAGGUUUACUAUCAGCAGGGGGAUUCAUUCACUACACCUGCAAGUCAUACUUCGGCCGUGGUUCAUCCUCAGUUGCCCACAGUGGGAGAAAGCGGCAGUGUCGCAAAUGUCCCCAUUGUUCAGGGAGAAGGGACAUUUCUCCAACAAAGCACAUUGAUUCCACAGGUAUCAGCAAGUGUACCGCAACAAUACUUUCAGGUGAAAAAGGAAGCCACUAACUUAAAGUAUGCCCAUUUUAAUGUAUUAAUUACCUAAUCGCUCUUUUCA